rnacentral:rRNA from 1 species
AGUGAACGCUGGCGGUAGGCCUAACACAUGCAAGUCGAACGGCAGCACAGUAAGAGCUUGCUCUUACGGGUGGCGAGUGGCGGACGGGUGAGGAAUACAUCGGAAUCUACUUUUUCGUGGGGGAUAACGUAGGGAAACUUACGCUAAUACCGCAUACGACCUACGGGUGAAAGCAGGGGAUCUUCGGACCUUGCGCGAUUGAAUGAGCCGAUGUCGGAUUAGCUAGUUGGCGGGGUAAAGGCCCACCAAGGCGACGAUCCGUAGCUGGUCUGAGAGGAUGAUCCGACACUGUGGCACUGAGACGCUGUCCAGACUCAUGCGGGGCGCAGCAGUGGAAUAUAGUGGACUGUGGGCGCACGCGUGCUCGCGCCAUACCGCGUGUGUGGAGAAGGCCCUCGGGUUGUAACGCCCUUUUGUUGGGAAAGAAAAGCCGCAUGUUAAUACCCCGCUUUUCUCGCUGCCCACAGAGAAUGCGCCGCCUAAAUCCGCG